UACGAGGGGGGCAAAUGUUGUUCGGAAUCACUGGGCGUAAAGGGCGCGUAGGUGGUCUGAUAAGGGUGUGGUGAAAGCCCGGGGCUCAACCCCGGGUCGGCCGUGCCGACUGUUAGACUAGAGUACUGUAGGGGCAGGCGGAAUUCCGGGUGUAGCGGUGGAAUGCGUAGAGAUCCGGAGGAAGACCGGUGGCGAAGGCGGCCUGCUGGGCAGUUACUGACACUGAGGCGCGACAGCGUGGGGAGCAAACAGG
rnacentral:rRNA from 1 species